CUCCCCUAACUUGGGACAGUGGUGUAACAGUACAACAUGAGAACGAACUAUGAAAAUCAGUUGAAAGAGGCUUAACUCAUCAGAUGGAUAAAUAUACAAAUACUACAAAUACAAGUGGACGUGGCCAGGUACUGGUACAUCCAAACAACAAAAAGACACUAAGUACGGAUCUGAGAGUACUCGCAGUUACUGACAGCUAGUUCAAAGCCACUAACAACUAAUAAAAA
rnacentral:lncRNA from 1 species